GACAUGGAUGAUGAGGAGGUGAUCUCUCACAUCCUUGCCAGACUCGAUGAGGAAUUCGAUCCGGUGGUGCCGACCAUGUGCUCCCCGAUCGAACCUGUCAAGAUCCCAGAGCUUUACUCAUAGCUCCUGAGCUUUGAGA
rfam:Hordeum vulgare subsp. vulgare, WGS project CAJW01000000 data, contig: morex_contig_1578434